rnacentral:rRNA from 1 species
UACGUAGGGUGCAAGCGUUAAUCGGAAUUACUGGGCGUAAAGCGUGCGCAGGCGGUUCUAUAAGACAGAUGUGAAAUCCCCGGGCUCAACCUGGGAACUGCAUUUGUGACUGUAGAGCUGGAGUACGGCAGAGGGGGAUGGAAUUCCGCGUGUAGCAGUGAAAUGCGUAGAUAUGCGGAGGAACACCGAUGGCGAAGGCAAUCCCCUGGGCCUGUACUGACGCUCCAUGCACGAAAGCGUGGGAGCAAACAGG